AGACUUGCUAUUGGUAUACUUAGUGGCAGACGGGUGAGUAAUGUAUAGGAAUCUACCUAGUAGUACGGGAACAAUUGUUGGAAACGGCAACUAAUACCGUAUACGCCCUACGGGGGUAAAGAUUUAUUGCUAUUAGAUGAGCCUAUAUUAGAUUAGCUAGUUGGUGGGGUAAUGGCCUACCAAAGGCAGUGAUCUAUAGCUGAUCUGAGAGGAUGAUCAGCCACACUGGAACUGAGAUACGGUCCAG
rnacentral:rRNA from 1 species